GGGUUGUGAGGUUAAGCGACUAAGCGUACACGGUGGAUGCCCUGGCAGUCAGAGGCGAUGAAGGACGUGCUAAUCUGCGAUAAGCGUCGGUGAGGUGAUAUGAACCGUUAUAACCGGCGAUUUCCGAAUGGGGAAACCCAGUGUGAUUCGUCACACUAUCAUUAACUGAAUCCAUAGGUUAAUGAGGCGAACCGGGGGAACUGAAACAUCUAAGUACCCCGAGGAAAAGAAAUCAACCGAGAUUCCCCCAGUAGCGGCGAGCGAACGGGGAGGAGCCCAGAGCCUGAAUCAGUGUG
rnacentral:rRNA from 1 species